rnacentral:rRNA from 1 species
UACGGAGGGUGCAAGCGUUGUCCGGAAUCACUGGGCGUAAAGGGCGCGUAGGCGGCUCAUGAAGGCUGUGGUGAAAGUCCGGGGCUCAACCUCGGAUCGGCCGUGGCGACUCGUGGGCUGGAGCACUGUAGAGGCGGGUGGAAUUCCGGGUGUAGCGGUGGAAUGCGUAGAGAUCCGGAAGAACACCAGUGGCGAAGGCGGCCCGCUGGG